GAAACACUUAAACAAAAACAUCAAAAAUAACAAGAAAAAUAGAAAGUCAUUUACAUGGAUAUACAUGGGACUUCCUCCCAAGUGAGCUUGUUUUAAGUCACUAAGCUUGACUCUUACAGUGCUUAGUCAGAAACAAGGUUGAAGAGAGGAACAGGGAAGUCUUCAUCUUCAGUGGUUAAAUUUUCAGUGCUUGAGUCAUACUCUACAUCCUCUCUUGAGAUAUGGUAGGAUGAGUACUCAAUUGAUUUUUCUUCAAAGUAAGCUUCUUUUUGAUCAGCAGAGUAGUCUUCUUCUUCUGAACCAGGCUCCUUUGACCAAUCCUCAAAUUCAAAACUGGGGUAGCUUUUAAUCAUUUCUUGAAGUUCCAAGAUUGCAUGGUUGAGUCCUUUCAUUUUGUAAGUUAGCUCCCCAAUGGUAUCCUCUUGAGCUUUGUAUUCUAUCCUGAGUUCCAGAAGUUCUUCAGUAACAGAAUCAAGUGUCAAGUGUUCUUCUUCAGCAUAGGGGUUGGUGGGCUGUUUAGGCGCUCCUGGAGAAGAAAUUGGAAUAGGAGUUUCCUCCUCACUAAACAACUUGCUCUCUAGGCUUCUUUCCUCUAAGUGAACUCCUUUCUGAUCUUCUGGUGUAAACCAUUCUGUUGUGAAAUUUUUGUCCUCCUUGAUAGCUAGUGCAGUUUCUAUCUUCUCUGGGUCAAUACCAUCUGAAAACUUUUUAACUCUUUUUUCAAACAUCCAAAGUUGAUCUUUCAGCCUCAUCACCCUUGAAGAUAAUCCCUCUAUGACUCUACUUUGCCAUUUAAUUUUUUUUUUCAUUUCAUACCAGUCAUCUUUUGUAGGACCUUCAGUCUGAGAUAGCCUUUCUGUUGCUCUCUUCUUGUGGUCAAAAGUUCUCUUCAGCUUGCUAAUUUGAGAAGUAUAAUUGACUUUUGGUGAGGUUUCA
rnacentral:sRNA from 1 species